CUUGUGGUCGAGACAUCCAGUUAGACCAUUGACCCCUGAUGGCGAAGAAAUUUUCUAAAUGAAAAGAAAUUUUCCAAUAACUUUGCAAAUGAUCGAUAACGACAAACAAAGUAAUACUUACAACGAAGCGUAAGGCUGUAAAUGCAUCAUUUAACAAACUUAAAUAAUAACAAAAAAAAAAAUAUCUGUUUAAGAUUCGAAAAAAAAAUAAUUACAACUCCAUGCAACAUAAAAAACGUACAUAAAAGUUGAAACAUCGUUAAAUAAAUAUGUCAUCAGAACGAAAUACUAUACGUACAUCAUAUACUAGUAGUGAAUUAGUAAAAAACUAAUUUAUGUAUCCAAUUUUAUGUCUAACCAACAGCCAACCUUUAGAGCAAAUCAAAUUGGUUAAAUAGAUAGAAACAAUUGCAAAUUUUCCGCACAUUGUUAUAAAAUAAAAAUUGCACAUCGCACGAUUUUCUAAAUACGACGACAACGCGAACAUUGUUUUAUUUAGUAAACAAGUAAAACGAACUAUGAAACGAGGGCUAACUCAAAAAAAAACGAAACCAUUAAAAAUAAGUCGACCUUAUCCAAUAAACGAAAAUUUUUUCAACGCAUCAAAAUAUCAACAUCAACAACAAAUAAAACAACACCACAUGGCAGAAGGAAUUAGAAAAUUUUAAAAAUAACGAUGUGGGUGAACAACAGCAAUACAAAAACAACAAGAACAACAAAAAAGUAGAAACGAAAUAAAAAUAUUUUCGCUUUAAACAGCAACGAAACUCUUGUGUACUUAUGUAUUGUACUUAAAAAAAAAAAUUGUAUUUUUUUGUGUAAAAUAUGUAUUUAUUUAAAUUUUUUACGCUGCCAAUGACGAACAAUGGAAAAUAAUAUUAGUAAAUGAAAAGCGAAAUAUAUAUUAAAAAUACUUUAUAAAUAAAUAAAAGCCAAAAAUAAAAAAAGACCUAAGUGCAUAUUUCUCGAGGUUUGUUUUUGCGUACAACAGCGAAAACCGAAUUAUUAUUUUUUUAAUGUUAAAAUUUUAUUAUUAACUGCAGUAAUUUUGCGAUAAGUAUUGCAAGCAAAAUAAAAACUGGUUUACAUUUAUUGUAGAAUGAAGAAAAAAAGCUUCAAAGAGAGGCUAAAAGAGUGUAAUAUUUAAAAAAUUGCUGGGUGAGAUCCAUGAAUUCAGUAAUUAUGUCAGUAAAAACUGAGGCGAAGAAGAAGAAGAAGAAGAUGAAGAAUAAUUAUAAUAAGAAGUAGAAGUGUUCCUUUUUUGUAUAUUUGUGUAAGUUGUAUUUAAAAAAAUUUAGCUAAGCAGAAAAAGUAUGAAAAUAAAAGUAUAAAAAUGCUAAAACACCAACAACUGUGCACGCAUAUCGCAGGUGCAUGUAAUUGUAAAAUUUACAAUUUAUGUUGUAAAAGUGAAUUAAAAAAAAAAAGGUAUUUUUGUUAAAAUAUAAAAUGUAUUGUAUGUCUGCCAACUUUUUAUAAGAAAGGAAAUGUAAUAGAAAUAAAAUGCAAUUACGACAACAACAACAACAACACCA